AGUAAGUUAUUGCCAGGGUUUUUGUUUUAUACUUUAAACAUUGAUUUUAUUUUUUAUGUUUUUAGAUGUUCAUUUAUUUGAAUGUUUUAUUCAAAUAAUAUAAAAAGUAAAAUAUAUAUUGACAUGGAUUAAACAAAGAUAUAUAUUAUUCUAUGUUGCAUAAACAAAUUGGCAAAAUAGAGAUGGAAGAUAAAAAUAUGGUCAAAGUAAUAAGAGUC
rnacentral:misc_RNA from 1 species